UGUCUACCGAAGUGGAGGCCGCGAAAUCAAAUUGACUUUCUAUCCGACGAAGUGCAGGAAAACACUCCAUAAAUAGAAGUGAAGGGAAUCACUCAAAAGAACAAUUGAUGUAACAGAAUCUGAACAUGAUGAUGCAACUCAACAUGCAGAAGCUAGAAUCGUCUUACCAUAGCGUGCAGCGGACCAACCAACGCGAUGAGGCGGAGGGAAAUACAUCAAAUGACGAGAAUGGAGCUCUGUCGAAAGGGAAAAGGACAUGAGAUUAGUCUCUCGAACAUGAAUUGAAGAGAAGCUCUCGCAGCUCUCUUGGCAAAUCAUUUGGCAAUCCCUCCAAGCUUAUCUCAUUUUAUUUUGGAAGGUGACUAGGUUACAAUUGCUCUUGCUCUUCAAUUGCUCGCC